rnacentral:rRNA from 1 species
UUAAGUUAUUAAGGGCGCACGGUGGAUGCCUUGGCACUAGAAGCCGAUGAAGGACGUUACUAAAGACGAUAUGCUUUGGGGAGCUGUAAGUAAGCUUUGAUCCAGAGAUUUCCGAAUGGGGAAACCCAGCAUGAGUUAUGUCAUGUUAUCGAUAUGUGAAUACAUAGCAUAUCAGAAGGCACACCCGGAGAACUGAAACAUCUUAGUACCCGGAGGAAGAGAAAGAAAAUUCGAUUCCCUUAGUAGCGGCGAGCGAAACGGGAAGAGCCCAAACCAACAAGCUUGCUUGUUGGGGUUGUAGGACACUCUGUACGGAGUUACAAAGGACGACAUUAGACGAAUCAUCUGGAAAGAUGAAUCAAAGAAGGUAAUAAUCCUGUAGUCGAAAAUGUUGUCUCUCUUGAGUGGAUCCUGAGUACGACGGAGCACGUGAAAUUCCGUCGGAAUCUGGGAGGACCAUCUCCUAAGGCUAAAUACUCUCUAGUGACCGAUAGUGAACCAGUACCGUGAGGGAAAGGUGAAAAGCACCCCGGAAGGGGAGUGAAAUAGAACCUGAAACCGUGUGCUUACAAGUAGUCAGAGCCCGUUAAUGGGUGAUGGCGUGCCUUUUGUAGAAUGAACCGGCGAGUUACGAUUUGAUGCAAGGUUAAGCAGUAAAUGUGGAGCCGUAGCGAAAGCGAGUCUGAAUAGGGCGUUUAGUAUUUGGUCGUAGACCCGAAACCAGGUGAUCUACCCUUGGUCAGGUUGAAGUUCAGGUAACACUGAAUGGAGGACCGAACCGACUUACGUUGAAAAGUGAGCGGAUGAACUGAGGGUAGCGGAGAAAUUCCAAUCGAACCUGGAGAUAGCUGGUUCUCUCCGAAAUAGCUUUAGGGCUAGCCUCAAGUGAUGAUUAUUGGAGGUAGAGCACUGUUUGGACGAGGGGCCCCUCUCGGGUUACCGAAUUCAGACAAACUCCGAAUGCCAAUUAAUUUAACUUGGGAGUCAGAACAUGGGUGAUAAGGUCCGUGUUCGAAAGGGAAACAGCCCAGACCACCAGCUAAGGUCCCAAAAUAUAUGUUAAGUGGAAAAGGAUGUGGCGUUGCCCAGACAACUAGGAUGUUGGCUUAGAAGCAGCCAUCAUUUAAAGAGUGCGUAAUAGCUCACUAGUCGAGUGACACUGCGCCGAAAAUGUACCGGGGCUAAACAUAUUACCGAAGCUGUGGAUUGUCCUUUGGACAAUGGUAGGAGAGCGUUCUAAGGGCGUUGAAGCAUGAUCGUAAGGACAUGUGGAGCGCUUAGAAGUGAGAAUGCCGGUGUGAGUAGCGAAAGACGGGUGAGAAUCCCGUCCACCGAUUGACUAAGGUUUCCAGAGGAAGGCUCGUCCGCUCUGGGUUAGUCGGGUCCUAAGCUGAGGCCGACAGGCGUAGGCGAUGGAUAACAGGUUGAUAUUCCUGUACCACCUAUAAUCGUUUUAAUCGAUGGGGGGACGCAGUAGGAUAGGCGAAGCGUGCGAUUGGAUUGCACGUCUAAGCAGUAAGGCUGAGUAUUAGGCAAAUCCGGUACUCGUUAAGGCUGAGCUGUGAUGGGGAGAAGACAUUGNNNNNGUCUUCGAGUCGUUGAUUUCACACUGCCGAGAAAAGCCUCUAGAUAGAAAAUAGGUGCCCGUACCGCAAACCGACACAGGUAGUCAAGAUGAGAAUUCUAAGGUGAGCGAGCGAACUCUCGUUAAGGAACUCGGCAAAAUGACCCCGUAACUUCGGGAGAAGGGGUGCUCUUUAGGGUUAACGCCCAGAAGAGCCGCAGUGAAUAGGCCCAAGCGACUGUUUAUCAAAAACACAGGUCUCUGCUAAACCGUAAGGUGAUGUAUAGGGGCUGACGCCUGCCCGGUGCUGGAAGGUUAAGAGGAGUGGUUAGCUUCUGCGAAGCUACGAAUCGAAGCCCCAGUAAACGGCGGCCGUAACUAUAACGGUCCUAAGGUAGCGAAAUUCCUUGUCGGGUAAGUUCCGACCCGCACGAAAGGCGUAACGAUUUGGGCACUGUCUCAACGAGAGACUCGGUGAAAUCAUAGUACCUGUGAAGAUGCAGGUUACCCGCGACAGGACGGAAAGACCCCGUGGAGCUUUACUGUAGCCUGAUAUUGAAAUUCGGCACAGCUUGUACAGGAUAGGUAGGAGCCUUUGAAACGUGAGCGCUAGCUUACGUGGAGGCGCUGGUGGGAUACUACCCUAGCUGUGUUGGCUUUCUAACCCGCACCACUUAUCGUGGUGGGAGACAGUGUCAGGCGGGCAGUUUGACUGGGGCGGUCGCCUCCUAAAAGGUAACGGAGGCGCUCAAAGGUUCCCUCAGAAUGGUUGGAAAUCAUUCAUAGAGUGUAAAGGCAUAAGGGAGCUUGACUGCGAGACCUACAAGUCGAGCAGGGUCGAAAGACGGACUUAGUGAUCCGGUGGUUCCGCAUGGAAGGGCCAUCGCUCAACGGAUAAAAGCUACCCCGGGGAUAACAGGCUUAUCUCCCCCAAGAGUUCACAUCGACGGGGAGGUUUGGCACCUCGAUGUCGGCUCAUCGCAUCCUGGGGCUGUAGUCGGUCCCAAGGGUUGGGCUGUUCGCCCAUUAAAGCGGUACGCGAGCUGGGUUCAGAACGUCGUGAGACAGUUCGGUCCCUAUCCGUCGUGGGCGUAGGAAAUUUGAGAGGAGCUGUCCUUAGUACGAGAGGACCGGGAUGGACAUACCUCUGGUGUACCAGUUGUCGUGCCAACGGCAUAGCUGGGUAGCUAUGUGUGGACGGGAUAAGUGCUGAAAGCAUCUAAGCAUGAAGCCCCCCUCAAGAUGAGAUUUCCCAACUUCGGUUAUAAGAUCCCUCAAAGAUGAUGAGGUUAAUAGGUUCGAGGUGGAAGCAUGGUGACAUGUGGAGCUGACGAAUACUAAUCGAUCGAAGACUUAAUCAA